AUAGGUUUAGCAGUGGUUAUGUGCCUGUAGGUUAGCUACAGUUAUGUACCUGUAGGUAUACCUGCAGUUAUGUUCCUGUAGGUUAGCUGCACUUAUGUACCUGUAGGUUUAGCAGCAGUUAUGUACCCUUUUCCUGCAAUCUGUCCCAGUGCCUGUGACCCAGCCAGGCUCCUAGCAGUUUUAUGGAUUUCCUUGAUUUCCUGUGAGAACGUGGAUACAAUGUGUGGACAGGUUCAUAGGCCGAACCCUGUAGGAGUCCCCUCCUGACAGAAUGGAAACCACCCCUGUGGCCGUGAGAUGUGACCCUGUCAGGCAAGGGGACAUAAUACAACGUAGUACAUCAUAGUAUAGAGGCACAGCCAGCUAUUCCACACAACACCGCGGCAUAUUUUUAAAUACAUAUUUUGCACAACUUUUUUCUUUUUCAUAAUCAAAUUUUUUAUAGACCAGUACAACCGUAAUAGCAAAGGCAACCAAUUCCCCAUAUAAUGUCAUAAGAAAUUAAGAAGAGAGAAAUCAGUUGUAAGUGUUGACUGCCCUGUUAAAAUGGAUCCUACCCACUAGCGUGCAAGUUUGGUUUAAUUAGUAGUUGAAAAUUAUUGAUAUUGAUUUACUUAAUGUAAUAAUUAAAAACAAAUUAGCAUGAAUGAUUCUACACCUUCAUGUGAAAUUGAUAUUCUAUAUGCAUUAUUGGAAAUUAUAUUUGAUUACAAUUUAUGUAACUGCAUGCCAUUGAUUUUUAAUGAAUGCUAACAAAAAUAAUUUGACAAUACAUGACACAGACGUUUAUUGAUGUAAAAUUACAUAUCUCACCAUUUUCUGCCAAGUAGUUAAUUCAAUUCAGAAUAUAAUAACUUAGUUAAAUAACCAAAGGACACAGAGUUGCACGUAAAGAGAAUGCAAAAAGAAAGCAUUUGAAGGAAAAAAACCUCUAGAUUACAGUGUAGAAGAUAAACUAUAAAAUAAAUAAUGUACCAUGAGGACGUCUAAUCUAAUGAGUAAUAUAUGUUUGUAUAUUUUUGAAAACAUACAUAAUUGUAUAUGAAUAUAUCCAAGUUUAUUUGUGCUUCUUUACAUUAUUAGUAUAGUGUGUUUAUUGGUUUAAAAUGUGAUGAAAUUCACAGAGUUUAUUUUUAGACUUUUACGGGAAUUGCUUUGUGAUGCAGGCCGGGAGAGAGGCCUGGGCCAAAGCUGGAAACUUGGAUCUGAACACAGCAAUCCCAGACACAGGGAGUCAGACUGCGGUUCCACCCUGACAUGUCUGGAUUUUCCAAAGCUGCAGCUUGGCCAAAACGAUGGGUGUGUGCAUGGUUUGGCUGUUGCUUGUUAAAGAGAUCUGAUCCGCUUUGACAAGUUUUUCACUAUGCAUUCCAGAACACCGGAUUCCAGUGAGUGCAGCUCCAUCAUCUUGCUUUUUUCUUACGGACAGACACUUUGAGGAGAUUUAUUCCUGUUGAGAGGGAAAUUAGUCUCGGGGGCUUGUGCCAGGAACAAUGGCUGGAGGCUUUUAUUUUUAAAAAUCUUAUAUGGAGUAUUGAUGUGGGGUGCCGGACCCCUCAAGCUACGUUUCAUAAUCAUGCCCACCAUUGUGAGCAGUUACACUCAUCCACUGGAGCACCUGGUGUUAGGCAGUGGAGAACCAUGUGUCCAUCUAAAAUGUAUCAUUGCUUUUCCUUUUACUGAAGGACUUGGGUGAAGCGAGAAAUGGGACAAAAGAGAAAAGUUUUCCCAGGCUGUCUGUCAUGGGCCUGACGGUACCUGCUCACGUGCCCAUGUGAGUGUUCUGAUUGGAUUAACCGGGAGAUUGAGGUCAGGGUCAUUAAGAUCUGCCUGGACCCAAAAAGGAAAUGAAGUCUGUGUGAGGACCCGCUCUCCCUCUCUCUCUCCCCCUGCACCAAGACUCGUUCUUACAAAGGGAACUGCAAUGCGUGACGACAUACAGCAUUGCUACCCCAGCUCUCAAUCUCGUGACCCCAGCCCCCCAAGUCCCCCUCCCCCAUUCCCUUUUUGUGCCUUUUAUUUACUUCCGUGGUCAGUCCAUUAUACUUAAACAUCUCACAGGAGCAUUUUUACAGCAUCGGUGCCUUGCCUCCGAGAGCAUUGCUGGUGUAAUCAUUAACAAGUCAGGCUUUUAAGUAUGUGGGAAUCCUUUCCUGGCGUUUCCAAAGCCCCUGCACCCAAUAGAGGUUUCGCUUUUUCCAGUUCACACCAGCUGCAUGGUAUGCCUGGGCUCUGAUAACAUAUGUUCAUAUUUAUAGAACAAGAGGCACCCAAACUCAAACUAGCAUUUCUCACUAUUGGCACCACGCUAUGUUUUGGUUUGUUGUUGCCAUGGUAAUAAAAAAAACAUUUUCAACAUAAAGACAAAUUACUAACAUGCACAAUCCAUAUACUCAAUCCACCUAAAAAAAACAAUUCUUAAAAAUGUGUGAUUUUAUUUAUGUCAAAAUGAUGCCAAGUUCCUACUAAAUUUUCCCAAAUGGUUGACAGAAAAACAGGUCAUAUCCCAAUUCAGUGAUGCCUGUUUCCUAUUUUGUUCAACAUGGGCCUUAGUUAAUGUUACGGAAGGUGAUUUUUCCCACAUUGCCACAUGUUUUUAUUUGUAUUGUAUGUAAGGGUAUUUUCUGUACUUGCAUGAUGUAAACAGAUAAAACAAAACAAACAAAUUGCCUGAUUGGCUUCACCAGCCUGUGGCCCUACAUAAGCCUGCUGCAGCUGAAGGUGAGUGAAGCUUUUGUGGUGCAGUUUUGUGGCUGAAUCCUGCACAAUGUUCUAGACUUUUGGCUAUUUAUUUGUUUCUUUUUGUAUGGUGUUUGGACGGUGAAUGUUCAUGUUCUUUUCAUGCACAUGUUUUGGUUAGGUUUUAGGACAGAGUAGGAAACCUGCGGAAGACUCACCAUUUUUUGUUUUCAUCGGGAGAAAGAUGACUAUUUGUUGCCGACUAGGGUUAGUAGUCUUGGACCCUGCUUUGGCCUUACCUGUUUUGUCCAACACCUACAACUGUUUUUGUGAAUGUGUUUGGUUAUAGUAUGUUGGGGGAAAUUUAUUUUGCACUUUGUUUUGUUAUGGGCACAAGGGACUUAGUUGCGUUCCAUUUCGCAUUGUUGUUGUGGGCAGAUUUGGGACGUAACAAGUUAACAAAUGAGCGAUAGCUGACAAUGGGAGUAUGAUGGGAACAAUGGCAGCUAGAAAGUUUUUGUUUUACUCAUAUGUAGCCAUAAUUUUCAUGUUGAUUAAACUUAUAGCAAAAACGUUAUGCUAAUAGGCUGGCAGCAGGCAUACAAUACAGGAAUCAUGGGCUACUUGGCUGUUGCAAUAUAGAUCUAUGUAACUAAAUUAACAUCUGUAAUUUAGGUUGAUAGUGAUUUUACAACAAAAUACAGGGCCAUACAGUGUAGCAGUUUUGUGCUUGGCACCUUGUUUAGUAUGUAAAUGAAGCUCACCACUCACCACUGGAGUUAGCCAAGGAAACACUGGCAGCUAGUAAUUUUUUGUUCUUUAUUUGGCUGAAAUGGCAUGUGCACAUCCUUACGUCGUGUGUGUGUAUAUAUGUAUAUCCCCACUCACACUACAUGGUCAAAAGUAUGUGGACACCUGACAUCCAACAUCACCAAACUUUUUGGCCAUUAUAUGAAGGUGGUCAAUCCUUUGCUUUUAUAACAAUCACUACUCUCCAGAGAAGGCUUUAUAUUAGAUGUUGGAGCAUUGCUGCUGGGAUUUGCUUUCUUUCAGCCAGAAGAGCAUUGGUGAGGUUGGGCACUGAUAAGGCCUCACACUUGGCUUUACAAUUGAAAGUAGACAAAGAAAAGGAAAAUGCACAAAGUGACCACAAUUUGGGGCUUUAUUUUGCGAUUGUUUGAUACAUUUCAAUUCUUUGGGUGGAAUACACAAAAUUAUUUUGAUCAGAAAAACAAUGCAUAGGACUCAUAAAACAACUGCAGUGGAUGGAAAUGGUAUGCAAAUGCACUACCAGGCAAAUACCAAGACAGUGUGCCAUCUCAGUCACACAUAUUUAAAUUAUGUAUUCUAAAUAAAUGAAUGCAUCAAAUGGACAAGUGCAAUAGCCUUCAGGACAUGUCUGAUCCAUACGAUUACAAAGUCACCAAAAAGAUUUUGGUUUUAUAUCCAUUUUAGAUGACCUGAUAUCCAGCAGUAAAACACCGCAGUCUAUUUGAAAGCCAUAAAAUGCAUAUACUUGACCACAUGGGAGCUGUCAUAGUUGCAAGAGGAAGACACCACAAACAUGUUAAACAUGCAAGUCAUUGAAAUAGAAAGAGAAAAUGUUCAUCAUUACAGGCUAGCACAUGCAGUACUAUGCUUGCUUGAUGACAGUGAUGACAUCAAAUCUGUCCCUGUAAUUUGUUUUCCACCAUAAUUUAAGCGGGCUAUUUCACUGUACAGAGACAAAUAUUUAGACAGCUCCAAGAACCAUGUCACUUUAUUAAAAAUGAUUCAAUUGAAA